rnacentral:snoRNA from 1 species
UUUUCUAAUAUAUGUUCUCAAUAUUCGUUCUUCUGAAUUUUUAAUGUGGAAAAUAUAUGGAGUCUUGAACUGAAGAGGC